UCUUCCAAUUUCUGGCUUGGAUGUGAUCUCCUGGGAAAACUAGUAGACUGGAUGCAGUUUUGCCAUUCUAUGUAUUCUUCUCUUGUCUUAACAGGAAAGUAAACUCAAUCUUGCAUGGCUAGAAAAAGCACUUGGCUUGGUUAUAUACAUCAGCAGAUAAGAAAGCUUAGAAUUGAAUGAUCUGGAAUCUCUCCUCAACUGCAUUAAUAAAAGGAAAGUAAACUCAAGCUUGUGCUGGCUAGAAUAAGCUCUAGGCUUGGUUAUAUAUUGGCAGAUUGGAAGGCCAUAUAGAAGGAGACAUUGCUGACACAACUGACAUUAGCCAGGUUGUAAUUUGAAUAUGAUCACCUUGUGGUUGCAGGAUGGAAAUGGGUUCUGUAUUUUAGUUUUACCAACAAAACUCAUAACACAUUUUCCUAUUUCUUUAUCCUCAUACUAACAGACUGAUUCGUAGGUGUAUCAAUAUUGAGCUGGUGAAGAUUAUGUUUCCUCCUGCCUGCCUGGCAUCAGAAGGUUGAUGCCCCACAGCAACUUCGCCACAUUCAUAACAUAAGGGGAACAUAAUCUUGACAAUUUUGUUUCUGUAGAUAUAUGGAGGUAUACCCAAUCCAUAAUCUUAAUUUGUAUGGGUGAAGAGAAGGAAAUUUUCCUAUAUUCUGUGCACGCGUAUAUUUGGGAUCUAUACUGAAAUCCCACCACAGCACUGCAUUGCAAACAUU